rnacentral:rRNA from 1 species
CAGCCUGAUGCAGCCAUGCCGCGUGUAUGAAGAAGGCCUUCGGGUUGUAAAGUACUUUCAGCAGUGAGGAAGAUGGUGUGUUUAAUACGCGCAUCAUUUGACGUUAGCUGCAGAAGAAGCACCGGCUAACUCCGUGCCAGCAGCCGCGGUAAUACGGAGGGUGCGAGCGUUAAUCGGAAUUACUGGGCGUAAAGCGCAUGCAGGUGGUUUGUUAAGUCAGAUGUGAAAGCCCGGGGCUCAACCUCGGAAUAGCAUUUGAAACUGGCAGACUAGAGUACUGUAGAGGGGGGUAGAAUUUCAGGUGUAGCGGUGAAAUGCGUAGAGAUCUGAAGGAAUACCGGUGGCGAAGGCGGCCCCCUGGACAGAUACUGACACUCAGAUGCGAAAGCGUGGGGAGCAAACAGGAUUAGAUACCCUGGUAGUCCACGCCGUAAACGAUGUCUACUUGGAGGUUGUGGCCUUGAGCCGUGGCUUUCGGAGCUAACGCGUUAAGUAGACCGCCUGGGGAGUACGGUCGCAAGAUUAAAACUCA